UACGGAGGGUGCAAGCGUUAUCCGGAUUUACUGGGAUUAAAGGGUGUGUAGGCGGGGUUUUAAGUCAGAGGUGAAAUCCCAAGGCUCAACCUUGGAACUGCCCCUGAUACUAUUAGCCUUGAAUAUUGAUGAGGUGGGCGGAACGGGUCAUGUAGCGGUGAAAUGCUUAGAGAUGACCCGGAACACCAAUUGCGAAGGCAGCUCACUGGGCAAUUAUUGACGCUGAGGCACGAAAGCGUGGGGAUCAAACAGG
rnacentral:rRNA from 1 species